GUUCCCAUGGUUUAGUGAUGAAGACAUUGAACUCUGAAUCCAGUAACCCGAGUUCAAAUCUCGGUGGGACCU
rfam:Picea glauca, whole genome shotgun sequence.